UGUAACACAAUCCACUGGUAUCACAUCAAAGCCAUACAUUAAGCCUAUCUCACACAUUUCUCAUCAAGAAACGUAAAACAGGAUUCAUGUACAAGGGAUUAAGCAUACAUCACACUAUAGCAAGGACACUAGGAAAAGCACAAGUCUAUCCAGUAUACGACAGUACAUAUCUAUACACAUUACAUUACCACUAAUCUUUGAGUUACAUCAUGUCCACUACUUUAUUACAACCAUACAUUCAUGCAUAUCUUCCCUCUGUACUCUUGUUGACUUUAACUUCCUAUAGCGAUCUCAGAACCUGCAAAACUGGGGUUAAGGGAGUGGGAUGAGCUACUACAGCCCAGUGAGGAGGAACAAUAAAACAAUUCAUUCAUUACAUGCUCUCAUGGAAUGCAUCACAUCACAAACAUAUCAUCUCAAGGAUGAACUUGUCACCAAUAGCCCUCUACUACAUGUCAUAAUAUGUCCUGCUGUGCCAAGGAGACUAGGUCAUCACCUGGACUUCUCUUAUUUCUCUCAUAUCAUAACAUGUCCCACUGUGCCAAGGAGACUACGUCAUCACCUGGACUUCUCUUAUAUGAUUUGACAGCCCAGCUGUCUAACUCAUAGUACCAGGAGCGACCUGGACUAUCCAGGGGCGACCUGGUAUGGCUAUCUCAUGCCAUAUCUCAUAUGCUCUCAUGGUGUCUCAACUGAUAUCAAGGGCUAUGGAUCAUUCAACAUUCAUCCACACAAAUAUCAUCUUAUGCAAUGCAGCAUAUUCGUGGAUUCUAAUGCAACACAACCUAAUAUAAAACAUGGCAUCGUAUGAUGCAUGGAUCAUGCUAAGAUAUGUCAUUUCUCAAGUUAAAACAUUAAGUUAGUUCCACUCACCUGUAGCCAAACAGUGGCUAGCUCUGGGCCAACACUAACUCUGAAGCAGCUACUACUGCUUAACACCUCGGUUCCUCGGGUCCAACCCUACAAUGAAGGACUCAAAUGAGGUACCAAACAUACUCUAUAUUACUGCUAAACAUCUCCCCAAAACCCCUCUAGAAUACCUCAAAACAAUCACAUUUAGCAUACAAAAGAAAAACUAGACAGAACACAUUCGGCUGCAGGUUCGGCGGCCGAAUGCCCUGUCCAGAGCCGAAACUGGCAUACCUGCGGCGGCCAAAUCUCCACUUAAGGCGGCCGAAACUUCAAAAAACACUCAAGAGCAAGCUGUGGCAGCCUAAGCCACCAUGCCAGGGGUUCGGCGGCCGAAUCCUCCCUUCGGCGGCCGAACCUGAGUUCAUCCAGAACUCAGCUUCGUGCACUACCAGCUUCUGCCUAUCAACAACUCCUCUCCACGAGCAUAACUCAACACCUCAACUUACACAUACUUUGGUAUAUGCACCAAGGGGUCCAAAACUACCUAUUAACCCCAACAAACAGUACACAUAACACAUAAUCAUGCAUAAACCAUUAAAUACAUGAAAAACUAAACUCUAAAACCUAAACAUGCAACUCUAUCCUUAACCUCUUUAAAAGCUGUUAAAAAACCAUUAAAACAAACUUAACGACUUCCCUUACCUCCUGAAAUCAGAAGAGGAACAACCAAACUCAGCAACUCCUCCUCCAAAGCUUCAAACCCUCACAACUCUUCUUUUCUCUCAAAAACGUUCAAAACCUUUUGCAAAUGAUCAACCCUCUGCAUGAGCUGCUUAAAAGCUUGCAGAUGAGUCAAGGGAGACGUGGCCUAACCUCUGGUCAUGAUCUGGAGGUGAACACCUGGCCAAACCACGGACUGAGGAGCAUGCACAACUAACCGACCACCUCAGCUUCGGCUGCCGAAACUGCAUGCAAAACCAUGCAACUUUCGGGGGCCGAACAUAACCUUCGGGGGCCGAACAUUGGGC
rnacentral:lncRNA from 1 species